AUCCACCUGACGAGUCCCAAAUAGGACGAAGCGCGUGUCACACUGGCU
rnacentral:hammerhead_ribozyme from 1 species